GACGAACGCUGGCGGCGUGCCUAAUACAUGCAAGUUGAGCGCUGAAGGUUGGUACUUGUACCAACUGGAUGAGCAGCGAACGGGUGAGUAACGCGUGGGGAAUCUGCCUUUGAGCGGGGGACAACAUUUGGAAACGAAUGCUAAUACCGCAUAAAAACUUUAAACACAAGUUUUAAGUUUGAAAGAUGCAAUUGCAUCACUCAAAGAUGAUCCCGCGUUGUAUUAGCUAGUUGGUGAGGUAAAGGCUCACCAAGGCGAUGAUACAUAGCCGACCUGAGAGGGGGAUCGGCCACAUUGGGACUGAGACACGGCCCAAACCCCUACGGGAGGCAGCAGUAGGGAAGCUUCGGCAAGGGACGAAAGUCUGACCGAGCAACGCCGCGGGAGUGAAGAAGGUUGUCGGAUCGUAAAACUCGGUUGGUAGAGAAGAACGUGGGUGAGAGUGGAAAGCUCAUCAAGUGACGGUAACUACCCAGAAAGGGACGGCUAACUACGUG
rnacentral:rRNA from 1 species